rnacentral:rRNA from 1 species
UACGAAGGGGGCUAGCGUUGCUCGGAAUCACUGGGCGUAAAGCGCACGUAGGCGGAUUGCUAAGUCAGGGGUGAAAUCCUGGAGCUCAACUCCAGAACUGCCUUUGAUACUGGCGACCUUGAGUCCGGGAGAGGUGAGUGGAACUGCGAGUGUAGAGGUGAAAUUCGUAGAUAUCGGGAGGAACACCAGCGGCGAAGGCGGCGACCUGGGUGGAUACUGACGCUGAGGUGCGAAAGCGUGGGGAGCAAACAGG